GGGGCUGACAAAGCUUAGACGGUUGAUUAACAAUUCAUUUCGCGGGUCGAUUUAUACUCGUAAAGUAUUUUCGUAAAUGCAAACACAUUUGCAAAAGCGAAAGCCAAAAUUGCGGACUUGUUCGCGGUUAAGGCUUUUGCGCCAGCUUUGGCUUGAUUGCCAAUAGCCACCAAACCCCUGACUUGGCAUAGGGGGAGAGGUGUCAUAUUAUGCCAAUAUUUCCGGUUGUUUUUUGAAGCAGGAUAACUGGAGGAAACUUUUUGCUUUGGCACUCUUGGUUUUGCUUUUUCCAGCCAAGAGGCUUAUGCCACGAAAGAAAAAGCUAUGCUCGUAGAAAAAUGGAUUAUUAUCAUUCGGACCGGGAGGCAGUAUCCCGCAGCUCCACCA
rnacentral:tmRNA from 1 species